rnacentral:rRNA from 1 species
UGCCAGCCGCCGCGGUAAUAUGGAGGGUGCAUGCGUUGUUCGGAAUUACUGGGCGUAAAGCGCGCGUAGGCGGCUAUUUAAGUCAGAUGUGAAAGUCCACGGCUCAACCGUGGAAGUGCAUUUGAAACUGGAUGGCUUGAGUACUGGAGGGGGUGGUGGAAUUCCCGGUGUAGAGGUGAAAUUCGUAGAUAUCGGGAGGAAUACCGGUGGCGAAGGCGACUCUCUGGACGAUAACUGACGCUGAGGCACGAAGGCGUGGGGAGCAAACAGGAUUAGAUA